rnacentral:lncRNA from 1 species
UUGUUUCAUAAUUAUAGUUUUUUUUUCUACAACAGUUGUACUUUAAAAGCUGCAGCACCUCAAUACCAAACAGGCUAGUAAUACAUUGUCUACAAAUCCAACUUCUUCUGUAAGAUAUAUUCUUUCAUGCUUGAAAUAUUAUAAAUUAUAAUGAUGAUAAUAUUUUUUAAAGUAAAAAUUCACAACUUAUAAAAAAAAUGGUGGUAGACUUACAAAAUUAUAUUAUUAAAACUCGUUGAAAUAAUUUUUUUUUAUGAUCUUGGUUACAAAAUAUUGCACCCACAUAUUAUUAUGUAUAAUAAACUUUCUGCAUGUAUUUUUAUGAUGUAGUUUACAAAAUCAUACAUAAAAAAAAAAAAUUACUUCAAAAUGGACUUAAUUAUCAAACAGAGCAGUUUUUUUUUUUUUUUAAUUGGCUUGAAAUGGUUCAAUAAUACAUAAAAAUGUAUGAAAAGAAAAAAAAAUAAUCGUUUGACUCUUUAACGUACAAAUUAAUUUAUGUUCCAAUCCGAAGGUUGAUUUUGAUCGAUUCUCUCGGGAAACUGAAGCCAAACACGCACAUCCAGAGGUGGUUGGUGGGACCUUUUGAUUUUGACAUCCCUUCAAAUUCAGUCCAUAGAAUCCCAUUGAUUGAGUAACUAAUUCAUUUUUCUAUUGCAAAUACAACGAAUUCUGUGCAUUUAGUUGGUCCAAAUUUUCUACACCGACAAAGAAAUCAAAAGCUUUAUUGAUGUGAUGAUAUAGAUUGUUUUAAUUAGGAUGGUUUCAAUAGUUGAUUAAUAAAUUAAUUAAUCAUUUCAUGACUUUCACUACUUUUAACCAAAAAACGUGCCUGCAAAUCUGCACCUUUGUAAAUAAUGGUCACUCGUAUUUUAACUCUAUUUUUACGUUAUAAAGUUUGUUUGUCACAAAAAUAAAAGUAAAAAAAAUAUUUUAGAGUUUUUUAAUUUUAAAUUGUUAUAAAAUAAUUUUUUUUUAAAGGAUGCUUCUAUUCAUUUGAUUCUGCUUUGAAGCAUGUCAAAACAUUUCCUAUCACAUUUGUCGCCAUAUUCUUCCUUCUCUCUGAUUUUUUUUUUCCCCUAAAAAAACUCUUCAACAAUUUUUUUUUAAUGUACAUUUAUUUAUUCUUUAGAUUUAAUGAUUUUUUUGAUCGUAUAAAAAUGACUUUGUUGAAUCUAGCAGGCCUAGAUUGCUAUAUUAAAGAAGAAGAAAAGAAAAUGGGAUUUUAGAUUCAAUGGCAUUAAAUACUGAAAACAUUGGGUGACAAGAAGUCAACUUUGGAGCAACUUAGUUUGGUACGCUAAUACUGCCCCCAUUUCCCUACAGUUAGUUGUAGGGAUCAUUUUUGAAAUUGAAAACGCAACACAAUCAAUUUUGACACGUUAUAGAUAAAUUUCACUCAGGUCCUUUUUGAAGUUCACUCAGAUCCUUUAUGUUCUACGUACUUACAUUUAAGUUUGAAAUGUUAUAAAAAACAAAUAAUUCCGUUUACAUUGAGGGGAUAGAAACUUUUUAUUUUUAUUUUUUAAA